rnacentral:ncRNA from 2 species
UUGCACGCAGGCGAUGGAACCCGCCCGGAAACCCGUUUUCCGAACCGCAUUACCGCUGAUAGUUCCUACACGAUC